rnacentral:rRNA from 1 species
ACCCGAUGAACUCGAGAGAGCAAAGGUGUGAUUCCGCCGGAGGAGCGGCCGACAUGGUAUUAGCUAGUUGGCGGGGUAAUGGCCCACCAAGGCUGUGAUGCCUAGGGGAUGUGAGAGCAUGAUCCCCACCAUUGGGACUGAGACACUGCCCAGACACCUACGGGUGGCUGCAGUCGAGAAUCUUCGUCAAUGGGCGAAAGCCUGAACGAGCGACGCCGCGUGCGGGAUGAAGGCCCUUGGGUUGUAAACCGCUGUCGAGGGGGAUGAAGGUCAAAGGGUACUCCUUUUGAUUUGACAGAGCCCAGAAGGAAGCACGGGCUAAGUUCGUGCCAGCAGCCGCGGUAAUACGAACUGUGCGAACGUUAUUCGGAAUCACUGGGCUUACAGGGUGCGUAGGCGGCCCGACAAGUCAGGUGUGAAAGCCCUCGGCUCAACCGAGGAACUGCGCUUGAAACUGUUGGGCUC